UAUAUAUAUUUCUUCAUCUUCUAUGCUGUCGAUGACUGCCAAUGUCUUCCAGGUUUCUGUGAUCCAUCGUUUUUUAAGCAAUCAAUUGGAAGGCAGGGUUUAGGGUUUAGUGAAAUUAUAAAACAUGGGGACAAUCAAUUUGCCUAAACUUUUGGGAAUUUCAAUGUGGUUAAUUAUAUGAGUUCAAUUACAGAAACCUUAUGUGGUAGAUAAGAGCGAUGAUGAUAUCGAGUAUGAGCCUGAACUGCAGCCGACUGUGGAUGAAGAAGAAGAAAGUGAGAUGAUUGAAUCUGACAUUGAGCUUGAAGGAGAAACUGUGGAGCCUGAUGACGAUUCUCCAUAGAAGAUGGGAGACCCUUCCGUUGAGGUUAUAGAAGAAAACCUUGAUGCUUCACAAUAGGCAAAGGCACAGGGCACGGAAGCAAUUUCUCAAGGUAAGCUGGAGGAAACAAUUGAGCAUCUCACUCGGGCAAUUUUGCUCAACCCAAAUACGGCAAUUAUGUAUGCAGCAAGAGGUAAUGUUUGGUUUGACGUUUUCGCUGUUCCAUAACUGGUUCAUCGGUAGCAUGGAAGAUGAAAAAAAAUAUAUGAGGGCAUUAUUGGUAUUUUGUACCCAUGAUAUUUUAUAUCUUUUAUAAUAAAUUUUUAAGGAAGGGUAUAUUAAUAAUUGUGUCUAUCUGUUGGCCGGAAUUUAACCUCUGAUUGUCUUUAAGGAGGCUUUUUGU